rnacentral:misc_RNA from 1 species
GUCCUGAAUUCAUGUUGGUGAUAGCUUUUGUAAUUGGUACUUUAUGCUUAAUCAGCUAGGAAUUGCAUUAAUGUGUUGCAAUGGUGGGGCCAUGUCAUGGAAAGCAAUGCCUAGAUUAGGGUUUGAAUAUCUAGUUGAGGGAAAACUGAAAAUAUUUGUUAAUAUUUUCCAUACUCAUUGCAAGAUUUGUAAUGUGGGUAAUUUAUGCAAGUGCAGUGCAGGAUGCUGCACUUACUGAUGGGCAUUCUUGAUGAGUAGGCAGACUAGCUUUAGCUAGUUUAGUGUACAAUGUAGCUGGCAUCAAUUGAUGGCCUGGAUGUGAUCAAACUUGGGGUCCAUAUUUCAUGCUUUGAGCAAACUAGGGGUUAUUCAGAUUGCCUG